rnacentral:rRNA from 1 species
UACAGAGGGUGCAAGCGUUAAUCGGAAUUACUGGGCGUAAAGCGUGCGUAGACGGUAGCGUAAGUCGGGUGUGAAAGCCCCGGGCUCAACCUGGGAAUUGCAUUCGAGACUGCUCUGCUAGGGUGCGGAAGAGGGGAGCGGAAUUUCCGGUGUAGCGGUGAAAUGCGUAGAUAUCAGGAGGAACACCGGUGGCGAAAGCGCUUGUCUGGCCCAAUACUGACGCUGAUGCGCGAAAGCUAGGGGAGCAAACGGG